ACUUUGGGCCCGGUCAGUGGGACCUGGUCUGAGGGGGUCUUGUCAGUUGGGCCCAAGUCAGUGGGAGUCUCAUCAGUGGGGCCUGGCUAGUGGGGCCUGGUCAGUGGAGGUUUGGUCAGUGGGGUCCUGAAAUUAUCCUUGAACCAGAAAAAAAAAUCCCCAAUUCAACACUCCAUUUUUGUGAAGAGCUGGUUCCGAAUUCUGGGUCACUUUUUGGAAAAAAUAUCUGUUGUGGUAAACAGUGCUGCAUCUGUGAUCUCAAGUCUCUACUGGAAUUGGAUAGAGAUGGUGAAUUUCAGCCAGAGCGCCCAAAGAACUCGUGUCCCGCGCUCCUGAACGCCAUCAGCCGCCGCACCUCCAUCUUCCCUCCUCCCACGAGUCUCCUGCUCCCCGUGACUCUGGCCUCCUCGCAGUGUUGCUGGGCCACGUCAGGAAGUGCUGGAGGACGUGGCAUUGCACCAACACCAGGCGGCCAGCCGUGUGGCUCAUCCCGCAAAUCAGGCUCUUCCUGUGCAUGGAGAUGGAGUCCCUCUGGAGGCAGCCCGUGGCCCUGUUCUCGGGCAGGUGGAGCAUGGAGACGACUGGGAACUUCACUAGACACGCAUCCAGCCGGUUCAAGGGCUUGUCGCGCCGUGCACCAGCUUGCAGGAGAAAGCCCAACGCCUCGCCAAGCACGAAGGCCUCCCUUCCCGACUUGAUGAAGGCAGAGUAGCGGUUGAGGUUGCGGCUCACAGUGACCGAGCUCCUGCCCACGUGGGGACCCAGGGAGCCGUCGAGCUCCAGCCCAGGCUUGGACCUGAAGAAGCUGGCAACCCGCGAACGCCAACAGGCACAGUCGAAAAAAGCAAAAGAAAAAUCCCAAACAAAAUCCUGUUCUCCCUAGCCAAAGGACCAGGAGAGGGGGCAGCCCAGCAAGACAAAACACAUUUACACAAUUCUGGCUAACCUCAGCCAGUCCUUGGCCGUGAGUUCGUUUUUCUGCCACCUCACUUUGGGGCUGGGCUGGUUCUCCACCCUCGCAGGGUGCGUUUCUCAAUCCAGACGCUGGGGGGCGCUAGUACCUCGCGAGCUCCGCGAGGAUCAUUCCCGGGACGCCGCGGAGUCACCUCCCCUCCUAGGGACCCAGAGCUUCCCAGGGCCGCGCCUGUAGGUUUUCCAGAGGUCCCCGAAAACGUUAAAGACCUGGAAGGAAAAAAAAACUGUAAAACCACACACUUUGAUAUUUGACAACGUAAAAGCAAGGCUGCAAAAUCAAAAUCAAUGAACGCUUGAAGGAAAUGUCUACUUAGCUAGACAUAGUGCCACCUGGAUUCACUGUUGGCUCCAGAAUCCCCCCCACGGUGUCAUCACGUUGGAAAGUUUUUGUGGGUUAGAUGUUCUCUGUUGGCAAGAAUGCCUGUACAUGCCCAAGAAGCAUAUGAGUUUAAUGGGACCCCAAUAACUUCAAAAGCAAAAAGAUAACGAUCCUUUCUACUUUUUUAA
ensembl:lncRNA LINC00905 long intergenic non-protein coding RNA 905